AGGAAAGAUAACUACAACACAAUUAAAAAUUGUCACAAUCCAUUAGAACACAGAGCAUUGAGGUAAAAAGGGGGGAUUUGGAGCUUCCUCAGAAGGCUCAACAAAACAAUUGAAAAGUCAUGGUCAAAACUCAAAAAGCAAGUAAUAAGCCUACACCACCAAUAGCAGUAAAUAGUUAAACUGGGAAAAGAAAAAAUAAGAUUAAAUUUGAAAAAAUCAGAUUAAAUUUGUUUCUCAACUCCACAAUUCAAAUUAAAACUUAACAUAGCAUAAUUCUAUCAAACUUUAUUUGUAAUGUCACUGGCUUCCACAAAUUUCUAGAGACCGUAAACCAUCUUAUUGAUAUUUAUCUAAGUUUACAAUAUUAAAAAGCCAUGGCAACAAAAUCACAGCAUUCCAGUUGUUUUCUUCAACUGUGAUAUUAUCUUUAUCAAGGAUUGAACCCUAGAAUCCAUUGUGCAAUAAGCAGCUACAGCCCUGAUAAUGCAAUGAAUUGCAACUGCUAUAAUUUCUAAAUUGACAGCCUGAAACAACUAAUAAGUAUAUGCGCAUAUGAAAAUAGCAUGAAUUUUAUGCAUAAAAAAAAUUACCUUCACAAGCGUCAGGACUUGAUGCACAUAACAAAUUUUCAUAGGUAACUUCCUUACUAUCACAGACAUAGAGAAUGGACACUUACCAGUAAAAUUAUGAUCAACACUUAAAAAAUAAUUAAUGAAACAGAAUAAAACAAAAAUGAGGCCCCACAUGAAGGGGUAUACAGAUUCCUUGUUAACUUAUAUCGGAUUAUCUUUAACUAUAAAUGACCAGUGAUUUAAUAUUUAGUAAUAAAUAAAUGAUUUUCCUCACAAUAAAUACAUCUGUCUACUUCAUAAACAGAAAAUAAGUCAGAGGGGAACAUUUACCUUGCUCAUCGGAGAGAACAGCUA
rnacentral:misc_RNA from 1 species